UACGUAGGUGGCAAGCGUUGUCCGGAAUUAUUGGGCGUAAAGCGCGCGCAGGUGGUUCUUUAAGUCUGAUGUGAAAGCCCACGGCUCAACCGUGGAGGGUCAUUGGAAACUGGGGAACUUGAGUGCAGAAGAGGAAAGUGGAAUUCCAAGUGUAGCGGUGAAAUGCGUAGAGAUUUGGAGGAACACCAGUGGCGAAGGCGACUUCUGGUCUGUAACUGACACUGAGGCGCGAAAGCGUGGGGAGCAAACAGG
rnacentral:rRNA from 1 species